AGUGAAUCAAAGAGUUCCAACUCGUUGUUUGCUCGACGCCUAAAGGUGUUUCGACUCGCAUGUCCGAUACCGCCAUUAAGGACUUGGUCGACAAUUACACAUCUGUCACAAUUUCGAAUCUAGUGACAUCGAUGCAUUUCUUUUAUCCACCUUAUUCUACAGCAUUUCGAAGCAAGUGGCCAUUAUGAUUAUUAUUCGAGGCGAUUUUGGCUGAUUCAGCGGUGGAACUAGAUGACAUAUUCGUGAAAUAGGGAAGCGCGGGCAGCAGAAUAGAAAAUCUACAGUGCAGAUACGCGUGGGAUUAAAAAGGGUUCACUCGAAUUUACGCUACACUUGUUUGUUAAGCUUUCUGUAUCUAUCGAUGUCGUCAUUAAUCUCUGUUUCUCAUCGUUCUAGAAAUGACUCUUGUAACGAACUGUUUGAUGCCUGUGUGCUGGUCGUUUUCAACAGGGGUAUAUGCAUUUGUGAAGUCCAAAGCGGACGUGCGUCGUGCUCGGUUUUCGACAUACCUGUUUUUUUAGUAGUCGACCACUUCGGAGAUAGACCGGCGAUGUUUCACUUAAUAGUCGCCAUUUACGUUACUGUUACAGGAAUUAUAUAGGACGUACGUCGUUAUAAGGUUCGCGAGAGAAUCUCUGUGAAAACCGAGAAAUCAAAUUGCCGGAAUUUCCCUCUCGUGACGAAACCUAAUUUGGUAGCUAUUGACAUAGAUUUCGUGUUUAAAUGCGGGUUUGUAUGCGCCAACUCGCAUAUAGACACAACACGUGCGUCAAUAAAGAUUUGAUGUUCUUGCUAGUUACUGAGAAAGCUAACUAAAGCUUAAAGAAACUUAUCUAGAAAUCGCCAGUUUCAUUGCAUAAGCGAUUUUAAAAUGUCUGUGAAGUAAACCAGCCAUAUCAUUGGUGAGCUGUUACCUAAUUAUGUAUGGAAAUCAGCUUCGCCGCAAGACAUGAGCAUUGUAGUAACAUCGUAAGAGGAUGCACCCAUUUGCACUUUUUUUUGCCAUUUGGGCAGCUUCUGGUCGCGCAGAGGAAGUCGGUGCGGCCAUUAACGCAAAAUGCAGAGAAUUAGGGCCUUAUCAUAGUUUUUUCUCAAAGCCCGUGGUGACUCUGUUCGUGAACAAGACGGCUGAAUGCUUUAAAUGUCCGGGUAACUCGAAAGCCUUGCCACAAAUUGCGUGUAAGGGCAACCAGGAACUGUGCCAGAAGCCAAGCAAUUCGAUACUCAAAACCACCUGUAUCUUAAAAGGUUGUCCCAGAAUCGAACUCAACCUGCCCGCAAAGAUCAGAUCAAGACAACCACCUUAAAGGAGCAGAUCAAUAUAAAACUAAACAGACACAGACUUCCACUGAGAUUCUGCCAAUACCUCACUUCGAUUGCGCGUUUGAAAACCAGUAUGGAUACGUGAAAACAGCAGGCUACGAACUCAAAUUCGAGCGGUUCGAGAACAAUACCCGCUGCAUUCUUAAUGAUUCAUACUACGUGUGGUACACGAUGGACUUUGGCAGACACGACUAUUGGCUCAUCCUAAAAAGUGUAAACCUUGGCCUAACUGCAACGGCCUUCACCAUUCUUCUUGCGCUAUGCUGCUAUCUGCACUGGAAUCGUAGAAAACCGAGGGAAGAACGCCUUAUGUACACGCCUUCUCCUAGGGGACCCUACUAGAUAGAAUUUAAGCUAAAGCGAAUCUGAAUACGAGGCAAUCGGCAAUGCUUCAGUGAGAAUCGUUACCUUAUGAUGACGCAAUCGUAAACAAUUAUACUGGUUGGACGCGAUCAGCUCAUUCUAUCGACCGGGUAGCGCGUCCACAAUUUGUGCCUACAAUAAUUAUGUUAUUCUCAGGUCUACUAUAUAACAAUAUAAUAAAAUAUUUUCAAAA